AACCUCCGCAAUGUGAGAAAUCGCGACGGGGGGAUCCCAAGUGCCAUUCUUAACGGGAUGGCUUUUCAUUAGUGUAAAGAGCUUUUGGAAUAAGAGCUGGGCAAGACCGGUGCCAGCCGCCGCGGUAACACCGGCAGCUCUAGUGGUAACAAUUUUUAUUGGGCCUAAAGCGUCCGUAGCCGGUUUAAUAAGUCUCUGGUGAAAUCCUGCAGCUUAACUGUGGGAAUUGCUGGAGAUACUAUUAGACUUGAGACCGGGAGAGGUUAGAGGUACUCCCAGGGUAGAGGUGAAAUUCUGUAAUCCUGGGAGGACCGCCUGUUGCGAAGGCGUCUAACUGGAACGGUUCUGACGGUGAGGGACGAAAGUUAGGGGCGCGAACCGGAUUAGAUACCCGGGUAGUCCUAACUGUAAACGAUGCGGACUUGGUGUUGGGGUGGCUUUGAGCUGCUUCAGUGCCGAAGGGGAGCUGUUAAGUCCGCCGCCUGGGAAGUACGGUCGCAAGACUGAAACUUAAAGGAAGU
rnacentral:rRNA from 1 species